GUUUUUACCUCUGUUAGACCAUGUGUUAUAUUUGUGUGUUUUCACAGAUUGCUUUGCAGACAUUACUAUAGCCCGUCAGGGAUACCCACGGAUGGCCAUUUCUGCCUGUUUCGGAGGCAUUAUCUUUAACAUGCUGUUUGGUGUGGGUCUGGGCUGCCUACUGCAAAUCUUUCAGACUAAUAAUGUUGUGAUGCUGGAACCAGAGGGGAUGCUGUGCUGGGUUCUCUCAGGAGCACUGGGUCUGUCUCUCAUCCUCUCCUUCAUACUGGUUCCUCUUCAGUGUUUUCACCUGAGCCGAGUCUAUGGCAUUUUUCUACUGAUCUUCUACAUUGUCUUUCUCCUCGUUGCUCUGCUCACUGAGUUUAGAGUUAUCCAAUUCUGACACCAGCAGAAACACUAACUGAACAAAUGCAAAUUUUUUUGACUUUCAUAGAAAUGUAUAAGCAUAUAUAUAUGUACUGUAUAUUUUUGAAGAUCAUGAGUCACUAGUACACUAGUUAAAUUGUUUUCAAACAAAUCUUAAAUUAUGAGAUUGAAAUUAUUAAAAUUAAUUUUAUUAAACGGGAUACUUGCAAAUAUGCGGUGGUGUUGUGUUUUUCUUUUGUAUUGAUUGAAUUCAAGCAAAGUACGAAGUCUGAUGCGAUUGAA